UACCAUGCAAGUCGAGCGGUAACAGAUCCAGCUUGCUGGAUGCUGACGAGCGGCGGACGGGUGAGUAAUGCAUAGGAAUCUGCCCGGUAGUGGGGGAUAACCUGGGGAAACCCAGGCUAAUACCGCAUACGUCCUACGGGAGAAAGGGGGCUUCGGCUCCCGCUAUCGGAUGAGCCUAUGUCGGAUUAGCUAGUUGGUGAGGUAACGGCUCACCAAGGCCACGAUCCGUAGCUGGUCUGAGAGGAUGAUCAGCCACAUCGGGACUGAGACACGGCCCGAACUCCUACGGGAGGCAGCAGUGGGGAAUAUUGGACAAUGGGGGGAACCCUGAUCCAGCCAUGCCGCGUGUGUGAAGAAGGCCCUCGGGUUGUAAAGCACUUUCAGCGAGGAAGAACGCCUAGCGGUUAAUACCCGCUAGGAAAGACAUCACUCGCAGAAGAAGCACCGGCUAACUCCGUGCCAGCAGCCGCGGUAAUACGGAGGGUGCAAGCGUUAAUCGGAAUUACUGGGCGUAAAGCGCGCGUAGGUGGCUUGAUAAGCCGGUUGUGAAAGCCCCGGGCUCAACCUGGGAACGGCAUCCGGAACUGUCAAGCUAGAGUGCAGGAGAGGAAGGUAGAAUUCCCGGUGUAGCGGUGAAAUGCGUAGAGAUCGGGAGGAAUACCAGUGGCGAAGGCGGCCUUCUGGACUGACACUGACACUGAGGUGCGAAAGCGUGGGUAGCAAACAGGAUUAGAUACCCUGGUAGUCCACGCCGUAAACGAUGUCGACCAGCCGUUGGGUGCCUAGCGCACUUUGUGGCGAAGUUAACGCGAUAAGUCGACCGCCUGGGGAGUACGGCCGCAAGGUUAAAACUCAAAUGAAUUGACGGGGGCCCGCACAAGCGGUGGAGCAUGUGGUUUAAUUCGAUGCAACGCGAAGAACCUUUAC
rnacentral:rRNA from 1 species